AACUGAUACUACCUGCGGGAACCUGCGGAAGGAUCAUUACAGACAGGCAUGCCCCGCCGUGCCUUGGCUCUGCCAACCCCGCGAACUUUAUACCCGUACGUUGCCUCGGCGGGGCUCGCCCCCCGCCCCUGGCCCAUACGCAAACGCUCUGAUUAGCUCGGCGCUCCAUCUGAACGAAAAACUUUUAAACGAGUAAAAACUUUUAGCAAUGGAUCUCU
rnacentral:misc_RNA from 1 species